rnacentral:rRNA from 1 species
GGUUAAUAUUCCUGUACUUCUGGUUACUGCGAUGGAGGGACGGAGAAGGCUAGGCCAGCUUGGCGUUGGUUGUCCAAGUUUAAGGUGGUAGGCUGAAAUCUUAGGUAAAUCCGGGGUUUCAAGGCCGAGAGCUGAUGACGAGUCGUCUUUUAGAUGACGAAGUGGUUGAUGCCAUGCUUCCAAGAAAAGCUUCUAAGCUUCAGGUAACCAGGAACCGUACCCCAAACCGACACAGGUGGUCGGGUAGAGAAUACCAAGGCGCUUGAGAGAACUCGGGUGAAGGAACUAGGCAAAAUGGCACCGUAACUUCGGGAGAAGGUGCGCCGGCUAGGGUGAAGGAUUUACUCCGUAAGCUCUGGCUGGUCGAAGAUACCAGGCCGCUGCGACUGUUUAUUAAAAACACAGCACUCUGCAAACACGAAAGUGGACGUAUAGGGUGUGACGCCUGCCCGGUGCCGGAAGGUUAAUUGAUGGGGUUAGCGCAAGCGAAGCUCUUGAUCGAAGCCCCGGUAAACGGCGGCCGUAACUAUAACGGUCCUAAGGUAGCGAAAUUCCUUGUCGGGUAAGUUCCGACCUGCACGAAUGGCGUAACGAUGGCGGCGCUGUCUCCACCCGAGACUCAGUGAAAUUGAAAUCGCUGUGAAGAUGCAGUGUAUCCGCGGCUAGACGGAAAGACCCCGUGAACCUUUACUGUAGCUUUGCACUGGACUUUGAGCCUGCUUGUGUAGGAUAGGUGGGAGGCUUUGAAGCGUGGACGCCAGUUCGCGUGGAGCCAUCCUUGAAAUACCACCCUGGCAUGCUUGAGGUUCUAACUCUGGUCCGUGAUCCGGAUCGAGGACAGUGUAUGGUGGGCAGUUUGACUGGGGCGGUCUCCUCCUAAAGAGUAACGGAGGAGUACGAAGGUGCGCUCAGACCGGUCGGAAAUCGGUCGCAGAGUAUAAAGGCAAAAGCGCGCUUGACUGCGAGACAGACACGUCGAGCAGGUACGAAAGUAGGUCUUAGUGAUCCGGUGGUUCUGUAUGGAAGGGCCAUCGCUCAACGGAUAAAAGGUACUCCGGGGAUAACAGGCUGAUACCGCCCAAGAGUUCAUAUCGACGGCGGUGUUUGGCACCUCGAUGUCGGCUCAUCACAUCCUGGGGCUGAAGCCGGUCCCAAGGGUAUGGCUGUUCGCCAUUUAAAGUGGUACGCGAGCUGGGUUUAGAACGUCGUGAGACAGUUCGGUCCCUAUCUGCCGUGGACGUUUGAGAUUUGAGAGGGGCUGCUCCUAGUACGAGAGGACCGGAGUGGACGAACCUCUGGUGUUCCGGUUGUCACGCCAGUGGCAUUGCCGGGUAGCUAUGUUCGGAAAAGAUAACCGCUGAAAGCAUCUAAGCGGGAAACUUGCCUCAAGAUGAGAUCUCACUGGGAACUUGAUUCCCCUGAAGGGCCGUCGAAGACUACGACGUUGAUAGGCUGGGUGUGUAAGCGUUGUGAGGCGUUGAGCUAACCAGUACUAAUUGCCCGUGAGGCUUGACC